rnacentral:rRNA from 1 species
CAAUAGCGUAUAUUAAAGUUGUUGCGGUUAAAAAGCUCGUAGUUGGAUUUCUGCCGAGGACGACCGGUCCGCCCUCUGGGUGAGUAUCUGGCUCGGCCUGGGCAUCUUCUUGGAGAACGUAGCUGCACUUGACUGUGUGGUGCGGUAUCCAGGACUUUUACUUUGAGGAAAUUAGAGUGUUUCAAGCAGGCUUACGCCUUGAAUACAUUAGCAUGGAAUAAUAAGAUAGGACCUCGGUUCUAUUUUGUUGGUUUCUAGAGCUGAGGUAAUGAUUAAUAGGGAUAGUUGGGGGCAUUCGUAUUUAACUGUCAGAGGUGAAAUUCUUGGAUUUGUUAAAGACGGACUACUGCGAAGGCAUUUGCCAAGGAUGUUUUCAUUGA